rnacentral:misc_RNA from 1 species
UGGCUCUCGCAACGAUGAAGAACGCAGCGAAAUGCGAUAAGUAGUGUGAAUUGCAGAAUUCAGUGAAUCAUCGAAUCUUUGAACGCACAUUGCGCUUCCUGGUAUUCCGGGGAGCAUGCUCGUUUCAGAAUCACUUCAAACUCACUAGGUAGUUAGUUUGGUUUGUUACUGCAUUGCAGUACAACCAAGGUGACUAUCGAGUGGAUCUGGACCCUGAAUGGUAUUUUAUACCGUCUGAAAGGUUUCAAAAGCAUGCAAGUGUUUCCAUACCAAAAUAAUACGCAGCAGAAAGCAUUUUUUGCCCUCGUUGUCUUUGGCAUGGAAAGCUAGCUACUCCAAUAGAAUUACAUGGGUUAGCAUUUUGCUAACCUUUGCAAACUUGGUCUGAAAUCGAGCAAGAAAACCCGCUGA